rnacentral:rRNA from 1 species
UACGUAGGGUGCGAGCGUUGUCCGGAAUUAUUGGGCGUAAAGAGCUUGUAGGCGGUUUGUCGCGUCUGCUGUGAAAUUUCGGGGCUCAACCCCGAACUUGCAGUGGGUACGGGCAGACUAGAGUGUGGUAGGGGAGACUGGAAUUCCUGGUGUAGCGGUGAAAUGCGCAGAUAUCAGGAGGAACACCGGUGGCGAAGGCGGGUCUCUGGGCCGAAACUGACGCUGAGGAGCGAAAGCGUGGGGAGCAAACAGG